UACGAAGGGGGCGAGCGUUGUUCGGAAUUACUGGGCGUAAAGGGCGCGCAGGCGGCUCUGAAAGUCAGAUGUGAAAGCCCCGGGCUUAACCUGGGAAUUGCAUUUGAUACUCUGGAGCUUGAGUACGGGAGAGGAGAGUGGAAUUCCCAGUGUAGAGGUGAAAUUCGUAGAUAUUGGGAAGAACACCAGUAGCGAAGGCGGCACUCUGGGCCGGUACUGACGCUGAGACGCGAAAGCGUGGGGAGCAAACAGG
rnacentral:rRNA from 1 species